rnacentral:lncRNA from 1 species
UAGCUUGCACACUAAGAAUGUUGUAAGAACAUAAUUCCGCAAUUGUGCGGUCAUAAGCCUCACUCCUAUACAAACCAAUUUGAAUCAUGUCAUCAUGCUUAAACCUAACUCACUCAUCCCCUUUUCUUCCUCUUUCAUUCUAGCGCAAUCACACUAAGCCCGUUAUUUUUACACACUCAUAGUAGGAUAUCUUGUUAGUGAUUAUGAUCUCAUCAUCAUUAUAUUUUUUUCUUGCAUAUUGUCUUAAGUGUCAACAAAUAAAAGAAUUUGUACCGUUAGGCUAAAUGAUCGGGUGAGGAUCACCUAACUUAGAAGCAACACUCCUUUUUAU